rnacentral:sRNA from 1 species
CCUAGGUCCCGGCAGCGGUGGUGACGGCGGUGCCGGAGGUUGUCCUUGGCAGGUUUUCCUCGGCGCUUUUCCAUGGAGGAGGCGGUGCGAACGGCUUCAGCCCCGAAUGCUCGCAUCUCCCACUGGACGGCGACGAAGGCGGUGGCCGUGCGAGCGCAGGACUGGGCGGCCUGUGUGGGGGUGUGAGCCGCGGUGCCCCAGGCUGCGCCGGCGAGGGGAAGCCGCGCGGCCGGCCGGCCGACUAGGGUGAGGUCGCCACUCCUUCCUUUCAGGCAAGCGCGAAGGGGCUGACUUGGUGGCGAGCCAGCCCGCCUUGUGUCGGAGAAGGGUUCUUCGGGCAACUUUCCUUUCCGGGUGUUCUGAAGCGGUUUUCCUGUAAUCCUCAGUGAGGAAACCCACCGUGAAUCGGAUUGCCGUUCAGUCCCACGGAAGCCUGGCUCGUUGGCCAUGUCGGGGACGCAUGUUCAUUAAGUUCAUUAAAAUAAUUUCAUUUGUCUUGGCUGGAGCUACUCGGCCAGGGUUUAAGACUUUAAAUGAGAAUAAAGGGUGGUAUUUACGAGGAAAUGAGAGUGAAUAAGUCAUCUCUAACCUCUCCCAGCCUUUUUUUCAUAAGAGAGACCAUAUUAAACUUACAUGUUUGAAGACUGCUUCAUUCUGCCUCUAGUACCAGCGG